AGAUUGUAUGGAAAAAUG
rnacentral:tRNA from 1 species